rnacentral:rRNA from 1 species
UCCACGCCGUAAACGAUGGUUACUAGCUGUUUGCGAUACAUAGCAAGUGGCAAAGCGAAAGCAUUAAGUAACCCACCUGGGGAGUACGUUGGCAACGAUGAAACUCAAAGGAAUUGACGGGGGCCCGCACAAGCGGUGGAACAUGUGGUUUAAUUCGAUGAUACGCGAGGAACCUUACCUGGACUUAAAUGUAGGCUGCAUAGAGUAGAGAUAUUCUUUUCUUCGGACUGCUU